rnacentral:rRNA from 1 species
UGGGGAAUCUUGCCCAAUGGGCGAAAGCCUGAGGCAGCGACGCCGCGUGAGGGAGGAAGGCCUUCGGGUUGUAAACCUCUUUUAAGAGAGAAGAAGCUACUCGGGUGAAUAGCCCAGAGGGUGACGGUAUCUCUUGAAUAAGCCCCGGCUAACUACGUGCCAGCAGCCGCGGUAAUACGUAAGGGGCAAGCGUUGUCCGGAUUUACUGGGCGUAAAGCGCGUGUAGGCGGCCAUGCAGGUCCGUUGUGAAAACUGGAGGCUCAACCUCUAGACGUCGACGGAUACCGUGUGGCUAGAGUCCGGAAGAGGAGAGUGGAAUUCCUGGUGUAGCGGUGAAAUGCGCAGAUAUCAGGAAGAACACCAAUGGCGAAGGCAGCUCUCUGGGACGGUACUGACGCUGAGACGCGAAAGCGUGGGGAGCGAACAGGAUUAGAUACCCUGGUAGUCCACGCCGUAAACGAUGGGUGCUAGGUGUGGGAGGUGUCGACUCCUUCCGUGCCGUAGCUAACGCAUUAAGCACCCCGCCUGGGGAGUACGGCCGCAAGGCUAA